GCGGGCGUGGCGAAAUGGUAGACGCAUGGGACUUAAACUCCCUGGGCCGAGAGGCCGUGCCGGUUCAAGUCCGGCCGCCCGUACCA
rnacentral:tRNA from 1 species